AAUCAACGCUGGCGGCGUGCCUAACACAUGCAAGUCGAACGCGAAAGUCCCGCAAGGGAUUAGUAGAGUGGCAAACGGGUGAGUAACACGUGGGUGACCUGCCUUCGAGUGGGGGAUAACGUCCCGAAAGGGACGCUAAUACCGCAUAACAUCCUGCCUUUUAAGAGGUGGAGAUCAAAGCUGGGGACCGUAAGGCCUGGCGCUGGAAGAGGGGCCCGCGUCUGAUUAGCUAGUUGGUGAGGAACGGCUCACCAAGGCAACGAUCAGUAUCCGGCCUGAGAGGGCGGACGGACACACUGGGACUGAGACACGGCCCAGACUCCUACGGGAGGCAGCAGUGGGGAAUUGUUCGCAAUGGGCGCAAGCCUGACGACGCAACGCCGCGUGGAGGAUGAAGACCUC
rnacentral:rRNA from 1 species